CCUACGGGAGGCAGCAGUGGGGAAUAUUGCGCAAUGGGGGAAACCCUGACGCAGCGACGCCGCGUGGAGGAUGAAGCCCUUCGGGGUGUAAACUCCUUUCGACAGGGACGAAUGUGCGGUUGUUGAAACCGCCUUGACGGUACCUGUAGAAGAAGCCCCGGCUAACUACGUGCCAGCAGCCGCGGUAAU
rnacentral:rRNA from 1 species